rnacentral:tRNA from 1 species
GGCUGGGUGGUAGAGUGGCUAUACAGCGGCCUGCAAAGCCGUGGACGUCGGUUCGAUUCCGUCCCCAGCCUCCA